AAACCCCAGAGAACCAAAAAUAGCAGUCAUUAAGUGAUGGGGGGGCACAUCGCGGAUCCACCCUAGCGCAUUGGCGACCCCCCUACCUCCCACUCUCUCUUUCUAACGUAAAAUUCUUCUCCUACCUUGUUAAGUACUUAAGGGUACUAUGAUAUUUUUUCUAUACAGUUUUAGGUCCCUCAUGCAUAAUAUAGUCUGAUGAAAUCUUUUAUUCUCUCAUUCACUCUUCUAAAAACUCUAAGAUGUAGGAAGUCUCUUCAGAGUUAAGCGUAGGGUUUCAACAAGUAUACAGCAAGUCCUCCAUUGAAGGGCAUAUACAGAUCGAUGUUGAGAGACCUCAACUGUGAAACUUCCACUACUCGAAUCUAAGGAUGGUUGAUAGAAGAUGUAACAGCGCCAAGAUAGUAGCUCUAGUGGCAGAGCCAGUAACACGAG